rnacentral:rRNA from 1 species
CGAACGCUGGCGGCGUGCUUACCACAUGCACGUCGAGCGGUAAGGCCUCUUCGGGGGUACACGAGCGGCGAACGGGUGAGUAACACGUGGGUGACCUGCCCUCAGCUCUGGGAUAAGCCUGGGAAACUGGGUCUAAUACCGGAUAUGACCUUUCCUCGCAUGGGGUUUGGUGGAAAGUUUUUUCGGCUGGGGAUGGGCCCGCGGCCUAUCAGCUUGUUGGUGGGGUGAUGGCCUACCAAGGCGACGACGGGUAGCCGGCCUGAGAGGGCGACCGGCCACACUGGGACUGAGACACGGCCCAGACUCCUACGGGAGGCAGCAGUGGGGAAUAUUGCGCAAUGGGCGGAAGCCUGACGCAGCGACGCCGCGUGGGGGAUGACGGCCUUCGGGUUGUAAACCUCUUUCGACCCCGACGAAUUUGGACGGUAGGGGUAGAAGAAGCACCGGCCAACUACGUG